UGCUAAACUGAGAGCUCUUUGGAGGUCAGG
rnacentral:piRNA from 1 species